rnacentral:rRNA from 1 species
UUGGAGGGCAAGUCUGGUGCCAGCAGCCGCGGUAAUUCCAGCUCCAAUAGCGUAUAUUAAAGUUGUUGCAGUUAAAAAGCUCGUAGUUGAAUUUCGGGAUCAAUGUUUCGGUCAUGCCGUUGGUAUGUACUGAUAUUAUUGAUUUCUCACCUUCUAAAGAACCGUAAUGCCAUUAAUUUGGUGUCACGGGGAAUUAGGACUGUUACCUUAGAAAAAAUUAGAGUGUUUAGAGCAGGCUCACGCUUGAAUACAUUAGCAUGGAAUAA